rfam:Dictyocaulus viviparus strain HannoverDv2000 D_viviparus-1.0_Cont428.7, whole genome shotgun sequence.
CCAACGGCCCUCUUUAGGGCCACAUCGAAAAUCGAAUACUAGAAUU